AACUAUUGGGAAAAACUACGAGAUUCACUGGUAGUUCCAUCACCAGUACAGCAAUGUGUAAUGCCUCGUGCCACUAUCCAAGAAUUACCAAGUGCCCCAAUGCUACCUUCAAGUCUAGAAAGUAUAAACUCUCAUUCACCGUCUUCAUCACUUAACUUCUUCUCAAAACUUUUGAGAAAAGGGGAUUCUUGUGGAAAAACGAAAGUUGGUUCUCUAUCCGAGUCUACAUUUUAUCAGAAAGCAUCCUCUUCUUUCCAUGAACUUCAGCAACAUUCUUGGGACCAAUGGCUAAUAACGUAAGUAAUUAAGUUCAAACACAACACGACAAAGUAACUUUGUCAACGAUCUUCAACGUCUCUUGUUUUUUAAAUUUACCUCUGUACUUGUCGUAACGUAUUCUUCAUUUGGACUGAAGAUGAACCCAGGGAAGGGUUCGAAAGCUUUCUGUAAAGUCUUCAAAAUUAUACACAGACUUUUUACACUUUGUAUUAUUGUGGACCCUUUAGAACAAAGUAACUUACAGUACAACUCAAGUGAAAUCCCUAACACGAAUUUACGUUAACCCUCUUACGCCGACUGUACGUAUUUUACGUCGACAUUUUUUGUCUCCAGUGUGCCGACUGGACGUAUUUUACGUCGACUUACAAAAGUUUUUUUUUUAAAUUCGCGGAAAAAUACUUAUAGGCCUACCAGCCUAAAACUUUUGAAUCACGCGCCUUGGGGGAUGCUGGAAGU